AAGUCGUAACAAGGUUUCCGUAGGUGAACCUGCGGAAGGAUCAUUAGCAAGAAGAACGCUAAAGCCCCCUCGUGGGGCACCAUCCAAUUAAAAUAUAAUUCGGAGAAGGUGCGCUAUGCCCUAAUAUAUCUCCAAGAUGGUUAUAAUUAAAACCAUGUGUAUACACCAUAUCCUUGCAUUGGUAAAACGCGAACUUUGGCGAACUUCGAAGGCUAUCUUCGACCUUUUUUCCGAUUUUCUCUAAUCCACUAUCAUGUGGUUUUGAGAAUAUAAAUAAUAGGAAUUGAAGGCGGUUCGCCGGGUUACCCAAGAUCCCAUGUGGAUUUGUUGUUGGGUGGCAAACAAGCUAUGUAUAUAUAUAUUGAAACAGUCUGAAAACUUUUGAGAAAUCAAAAAAAUACAAAUACAACUUUCAGCAACGGAUCUCUUGGUUCUC
rnacentral:misc_RNA from 1 species